rnacentral:rRNA from 1 species
ACUCCUACGGGAGGCAGCAGUGGGGAAUAUUGCACAAUGGGCGCAAGCCUGAUGCAGCCAUGCCGCGUGUAUGAAGAAGGCCUUCGGGUUGUAAAGUACUUUCAGCAGUGAGGAAGGUGGAUAUGUUAAUAGCAUAUUCAUUUGACGUUAGCUGCAGAAGAAGCACCGGCUAACUCCGUGCCAGCAGCCGCGGUAAUACGGAGGGUGCGAGCGUUAAUCGGAAUUACUGGGCGUAAAGCGCAUGCAGGUGGUUUGUUAAGUCAGAUGUGAAAGCCCGGGGCUCAACCUCGGAAUUGCAUUUGAAACUGGCAAACUAGAGUACUGUAGAGGGGGGUAGAAUUUCAGGUGUAGCGGUGAAAUGCGUAGAGAUCUGAAGGAUACCGGUGGCGAAGGCGGCCCCUGGACAGAUACUGACACUCAGAUGCGAAAGCGUGGGGAGCAAACAGGAUUAGAUACCCUGGUAGGCU